AGUGAACGCUGGCGGUAGGCCUAACACAUGCAAGUCGAACGGCAGCACAGUAAGAGCUUGCUCUUACGGGUGGCGAGUGGCGGACGGGUGAGGAAUACAUCGGAAUCUACUUUUUCGUGGGGGAUAACGUAGGGAAACUUACGCUAAUACCGCAUACGACCUACGGGUGAAAGCAGGGGAUCUUCGGACCUUGCGCGAUUGAAUGAGCCGAUGUCGGAUUAGCUAGUUGGCGGGGUAAAGGCCCACCAAGGCGACGAUCCGUAGCUGGUCUGAGAGGAUGGACAGCCACAGUGGAACGGAGACACGGGCCAGACUCCAACGGGAGGCAGCAGUGGGGAAUAUUGGACAAUGGGCGGAAGCCUGAUCCAGCCAUACGGGGUGGGUGAAGAAGGCCUUCGGGUUGUAAAGCCCUUUUGUUGGGAAAGAAAAGCAGCAGGUUAAUACCCCGCUGUUCUGACGGUACCCAAAGAAUAAGCACCGGCUAACUUCGUG
rnacentral:rRNA from 1 species